rnacentral:lncRNA from 1 species
CCGCUAUCCAUUUAUUGGUUAAUGUAUUUGGCGGGUAAAUUCUGUCGAGGCCGGAAGUCAUGAUCCAUAAACACUGGAACUGCAAGAAAAUCUAAAACACCUAUUUACGAUUUAAUAACUUGACUUUGUGGUUGGAAAUUCAUUAUAUUAUCAGUCAGGUUAGUCUCAUUCUUUCUCUUAUGACACAAAAUGCCCCUGUUACUGUGUAAUUUAAUGUUAACCGAUAUUAUGAAUGUUUAGC